rnacentral:lncRNA from 1 species
AUGGUCUUCCUGAUGUGGCCCAGAUCUGAGCCACUUCUUGCAAAAGACCAGUCUGUGUAGAGUAAGAACCUGCAUGCAUCCCAGAGAACAAAAGGCAGACUUCUGUUCCCUGACAGGUGCAGAGGGAACUGUAAGAGUGCUUUCUGAACACCAGGGGCCUGCGAAGGAUGAAACAUCCCUCACAUGAAAAUUUAUAAUCUGAGCAUUCACAAGCAUGCUGACAGUGCGACCUGGAUUUCAGACUGGGUAGCUGAUUGGGGUAACUCUAGUUUCCCACGCAUUACUUCAAAAUCUGAAAAACUCAAAAAUCUAAGACAAUUCAGAUCCUAAGCAUUUUGAAUAAAGAAUGAUAUAGUAAAGAAAGCUAUAAAUUCUAAACUCUGUUAUAAUAUUUUUGAGAAAUAAAUCAGAAAACCCAAA